GUGGAGGUGUCUAAUCUGUAAGGCAUUUUGAUAUGAGGUGCUGCAGCAAACCCGAAGCGACAAAGAUUUGAACUACAAAAGCAAAUCCCCGCUGAGCCUUCAUGCAAAGCCAAACCUGAUGUGGAGAAGAUGAGGAUAAAUGUCUUUAGUGAGGCAGUUCGGACAGGAUUGUCUUUUCCAUUUGCCCCCCUCAUAGCAGCGGUGACAGAUUCUGCUCUUGGUGUGGGAUCUGCCAUCACACAUCAUCAGAUACGCGGUAUGGAUAGAUUGUCCAUGACGAAAGGCGGCAGGAAGGUAAACACCUGCUAGUCACUCCAACAUAACUGUGAGGCAUUUCUCUGGGGUCAACACUCUGUCUAGGUCAGAGUGACCAAAUAAUGACCUCUCACUGCCGUGACAUCUUGCACAUCUCUCUGGUGUUUUCUACCUCCAGACCAACAGCGGAUUUGUGAGAGGCUUCUGGACUUGCUGACUGUCAGAGAUCUCAAGAAGAACAUGCCGUUCUAAAUGAUGUCAUCGACUUGUCAACAAGCAUUAAAUCGUACAAGAAGAAGAAGAAGAAAUGACGUCAUCCUCCAGGAAGUGACAUCAUCAAUUUGGAGGGAAAUCAACAGCACAAACAACAGAUUUAUAGACAGUUCCUGGACCCACAGGGGAAGCUGUUGGAAAGUAUGGAUAAUUGAAUGCCCCAUACCAGCAGACCAGGCCAUUUGGCGUAGCUGAUAUGUCAUGUGCUUAUAAAGGUGUGGAAUGUGAUGACAGUUGCCAUGGAAACCUGCAGACAGUUCGGGGUCAGAGUGGACAGACAUGAGCAGGCAUGAAAAAAAUAAACUCAAUAACUAACAAUAAAUCCAGCAUUGCUAAUCCUUGUCCACUUAGUGUCUGCACGUAAAACAAAAUGUUUGCAAAACUAUUAUUUAUUUAUUUAUAGUUUGUUCUUUUAUUUAAUGCACAAAAGUGCAGCUUAAGUAUUAGAAAUGUAAGGUAUUUGUGUAUUUAAUGGCAUCUGACAAUUUAGCUCUAUCUAUUUUAAACAACGCCUACGUUUAUG
ensembl:lncRNA